GCCUCGGUAAUCUAAUUGGCUAGGACACUUGUGUGUAAAGCAGACGAUCCGGGUUCGAUUCCCGGCCGAGGUA
rnacentral:tRNA from 1 species